rnacentral:lncRNA from 1 species
CUACAAUGAUAAGAUAAAGGACACUCACAUUUGGCGAUUCGAUUCCCCCUUCCUUGUUCAUUAGAUACAGCUGUCGUGCACCCCAAACACGUCUCCAGUCAUGGACGAUUCGGAAGCAAGUGUAUUUAUGUGUCUUAUUAUAUGCCUUGUCAUAGUAUAUGCCAUGGUACGGGGUUACGGUUUCCUCUUCUCCAGGGUCGACAAUGACAUCCACGUUGGAUUUGUACCCAUGGAGAGAAUCAGCAGGGCUUUUCAGGCACCGUCAAUAGCGGGUACCAAUGUCAAGAGUGAAUGAAGAUUUUGCUUUUAUUGAACUAAAUCAUCAGUGGUUCCAACCUUUUUCAAUGCCCAGCCAUCCCUCUGCAGUCCACAGCUUGCAAACCACUUAAUUAGUAGAUACUGUACUGUUUCUUGAAUGUAAUUAAUGUUAUCUGAACUAAUGUCCACAUUAGUUUGAUUUUCUACAAGGAAACACUCAAUUUGAUAUUGUUACCCCAGCGAGAGUGUUGGUAUGUGUGUAAUAUUGUGCGAACAUGCUAACAUGAUGAAAUCGGUGACAAACAUGGCGUAAGGGUCGAGGCGUGGCUCUUGUAUCCUGAUUUCCUUGUGCUUGCCCCUUGUAUUGUGAUUCCUAUAUUGUGCCCGAGGACUUUAAAGUGUAAUGUGGAUAUCCUCUUGUAUUCUACCCGAGAAUUAAUAUAACUUGUGUUGAACUGACUAAGUAAAUAAGAAACAGUGUUA